rnacentral:rRNA from 1 species
GACAGAGGCCCCGAGCGUUAGUCGGAAUUACUGGGCUUAAAGGGUGCGUAGGCGGGCGUGUAAGUGUCUUGUGAAAGCCCCGGGCUCAACCCGGGAACCGCAGGGCAUACUGCACGUCUCGAAGUAGCUAGAGGCCGGUAGAACGAUCGGUGGAGCGGUGGAAUGCGUAGAGAUCGAUCGGAAUGCCAAGGGUGAAGACAACCGGCUGGGGCUUACUUGACGCUGAGGCACGAAAGCGUGGGGAUCAAACAGG